AUGGAAAAGAAAUGCAAAAAAGCAAAAUGGCUGUCUGGGGAGGCCUUACAAAUAGCUGUGAAAAGAAGAGAGGUGAAAAGCAAAGGAGAAAAGGAAAGAUAUAAGCAUCUGAAUGCAGAGUUCCAAAGAAUAGCAAGAAGAGAUAAGAAAGCCUUCUUCAGAGACCAAUGCAAAGAAAUAGAGGAAAACAACAGAUUGGAAAAGACUAGAGAUCUCUUCAAGAAAAUUAGAGAUACCAAGGGAAUAUUUCAUGCAAAGAUGGGCUCGAUAAAGGACAGAAAUGGUCUGGACCUAACAGAAGCAGAAGAUAUUAAGAAGAGGUGGCAAGAAUACACAGAAGACCUAUACAAAAAAGAUCUUCAAGACCUAUAUAAUCAUGAUGAUGUGAUCACUAAUCUAGAGCCAGACGUCUUGGAAUCUGAAGUUAAGUGGGCCUUAGAAAGCAUCACGACGAACAAAGCUAGUGGAGGUGAUGGAAUUCCAGUGGAGCUGUUUCAAAUCCUGAAAGAUGAUGCUGUGAAAGUGCUGCACUCUAUAUGCCAGCCAAUUUGGAAAACUCAGCAGUGGCCACAGGACUGGAAAAGGUCAGCUUUCAUUCCAAUCCCAAAGAAAGGCAAUGCAAAAGAAUGCUCAAACUACUGCACAAUUGCACUCAUCCUUCAUGCUAGUAAAGUUAUGCUCAAAAUUCUCCAAGCCAGACUUCAGCAAUACAUGAACCGUGAACUCCCUGACGUUCAAGCUGGUUUUAGAAAAGGCAGAGGAACCAGAGAUCAAAUUGCCAACAUCCGCUGGAUCAUGGAAAAAGCAAGAGAGUUCCAGAAAAACAUCUAUUUCUGCUUUAUUGACUAUGCCAAAGCCUUUGACUGUGUGGAUCACAAUAAACUGUGGAAAAUUCUGAAAGAGAUGGGAAUACCAGACCACCUGACCUGCCUCUUGAGAAAUCUGUAUGCAGGUCAGGAAGCAACAGUUAGAACUGGACAUGGAACAACAGACUGCUUCCAAAUAGGAAAAGGAGUACGUCAUGACUGUAUAUUGUCACCCUGCUUAUUUAACCUCUAUGCAGACUACAUCAUGAGAAAUGCUGGGCUGGAAAAAACACAAGCUGGAAUCGAGAUUUCCUGGAGAAAUAUCAAUCACCUCAGAUAUGCAGAUGACACCACCCUUAUGGCAGAAAGUGAAGAGGAGCUAAAAAUCCUCUUGAUGAAAGUGAAAGAGGAGAGUGAAAAAGUUGGCUUAAAGCUCAACAUUCAGAAAACGAAGAUCAUGGCAUCUGGUCCCAUCACUUCAUGGGAAAUAGAUGGGGAAACAUUAGAAACAGUGUCAGAAUUUGUUUUGGGGGGCUCCAAAAUCACUGCAGAUAGUGACUGCAGCCAUGAAAUUAAAAGAUGCUUACUCCUUGGAAGAAAAGUUAUGACCAACCUAGAUAGCAUAUUCAAAAGCAGAGACAUUACUUUGCCAACUAAGGUCCAUCUAGUCAAGGCUAUGGUUUUUCCUGUGGUCAUGUAUGGAUGUGAGAGUUGGACUGUGAAGAAGGCUGAGUCCCGAAGAAUUGAUGUUUUUGAACUGUGGUGUUGGAGAAGACUCUUGAGGGUCCCUUGGACUGCAAGGAGAUCCAACCAGUCCAUUCUGAAGGAGAUCAACCCUGGGAUUUCUUUGGAAGGAAUGAUGAUAAAGCUGAAGCACCAGUACUUUGGCCACCUCAUGCGAAGAGUUGACUCAUUGGAAAAGACUCUGAUGCUGGGAGGGAUUGGGGGCGGGAGGAGAAGGGGAUGA
rnacentral:lncRNA from 1 species